CUUCUGAAUGUCCGUUUGAGCUCAAAUUUGACAUUCAUGUUCGGUUUUACCUAACUUAACGAAAGAAAUUUUAAUCUUUCAGUUUCGACCCCGUUUGGUCACCGAAAGCUCUAUCGAACUGUAAUCUCUAGCAGAUAGCAAUCGGAUUUUAUUUUCCAUCUUCCGGAUGUCAGAUCGACAUGAAACUUUAAAUCUAACCUCAUAAAAAUAUUUCCAACAUAAUUCCAGGUUUUCAUAAUUUUCUGACACUGUACAUUUUCUGCUAAAAUAAUAGUCUCGAUUCACAUAGAAAAUUCAAAAUCUUCUGUUCUCGCUUCGAUUUCCGCAAGAGUCGUUCCCAACUUAUAAUUAACUUCUCUAAAUCCAAUAAAAAUAGUAUCACACACUAUUUUUAUUUAUAUUCACUUUUAUUAAAAAAUUCGGUAUGCUACAGUCUGGCAGUACCUUU
rnacentral:lncRNA from 1 species